AUGGGACCGGGCAUCGGGGGCUAUCCCGUCUCCCUGCGCAGAGGGAGCCUGCGAAACCUGGUUCAUGAAACCCACGAAGGGAGAGGAAUGGUAACUUCCAGUGGAGGAAAGAACCACCCAAGCACAAAAGAUUUAAAGAAAUCAACAUUUCUAAGGCCAUCUUCCAAGAGGCCAGGGAAAAAUUCAUCUACUAUUGCAGAAAAGGCUCCUGUUCAGGCUACAGACAGACAGGUCACAGUUAAAUACAAAGAGAAAAAGCAGGUUUAUGAAGGUCAUCAACCAAACAGCAUAACAAACAUUUGUACUUCCUCACAUAGAGCACCAAGGUUGAAAAGGGAACCUCUGGCUGGAAAACGUAGUGAGGCUGAGGAGAACAAUAUCCUUCCUCCAUUUAAAGAUAUCUCAUGGAGUCCUUCCAGCAGGACAGAAGAUGUGAGGAUUCAGGGUUUUUAUUGUGGACCAAGAGGCAAUUUGGAAAGAAACUCUGGAGGGGAUGUGGAGGGCCCAGGGCCCAGCAGCCUUUCCUAUCAAGACGCUACUGCUGAUGCAAUGUUUCUGGAUUUUGAAUCUUUGCAAAUGAUGAAGGAGGACUCUGAGGAAGACGAUGCCAGUGACCUUUCUGAUUCAGAAAGAAUUCCUAUCCCUCCUUCACCUUGCACACCACCAGAGCUCAAUCUGCGAGCAGAGGAGAUCGACCCCGUUUGUUUUGAACACCUCUUUGAGACGCAGCGGAAGCAACCAGACUACUAUUACCCGGACUUUCUCCCACCGCCUUAUAACAGCUGGGACUUGAAAGGUCUGGCUGUGUUCAUCAACACCGAGUGCAAAUCAGAACCCCGACCAGAACCGGCUGGAUUUCUUGAGAAGUAUGUUGAUCGUCUUUUGCAGCUGGAAUGGCUGCAAAUGCAAACCGUGCAAGCUGAGAAAGGAAAGGUAACCAAAGCUCGGGCUCAAACUGCUCCUAGCAUCCUCCGGUCUUUGAAAAGUUCUGGCAAAAGCAAAUUAUUGCACAGCUCUUUAGCAAAUAAACAGCUGACUCUCCAUGGAAACUUUCCAAGAGUCCCUACUGCAGGUCUCAGAAAAGAUUUUCAUGGGGAAAGGACCAACCAGGUGCCCCCUCCUGAGAGUCAGUUGAAGUCCACUGGGGCAACCCAUGGCUCAUCAGUCCACCAGAGGAGGCCUUCUGAGGACAGCAUCUAUAGACUGCUUUUCAAUCUGGAACAAGAAAUCCCAAAGUAAUUUACAAGGCAUCUAUAUUUGGAGAUGUUGUUGGCUGCUAUUAUUAUUAUUAUUAUUAUUAUUAUUAUUAUUAUUAUUAUUAUUAUUAUUAUUAUUAUCGAACUAGAAUAUUUUACAACUUUUAAUUUGGGGCUGGCCUGGGGAGAUGUAGGGUAUGAUGAGUUGAUGAUGCUUUCAAAGACUUCUGUAGAUCAGUUGGAAGGAAGGAUGCUGGAGAAUAUGGAGAAAUAAGAAAGAUUCAGGAGAAAGUAAUGAAAAGAAAGACCACCUCUGCAGGAGUCAAAUGACCAUCUGCCUGGGAAUUCUAUGAUUUUCAAUCUUGACACGUAGUAUAUACCAUGUUAGGGACUCCUGUCCUAGAGCCAUUUUCGCCCAUGGUUCAUAGUUGAUCAAAAAGUUAUUUUCUAAUUUAUCAGGAAGUUAAAGAAAAUAUAGUUUGAUGGGUGGGAGAAUCAUUUCAAAUUUCUUCUUCCUUGACUUUGGAACAGUUGAGUAAAGCAAAUGAGAUCACGUUCUUUGCUUCAGUUAGCAGUUACAGAUCCUUUCUUACAUAUUGUUUAUUUUUUUAUUUUAUAUUCCUUCCAACGCCUUAGGAGUUUUUAAAACAGAACCAGCAAGCUUAAUCUAUGCAAAGUCAGACACUCAUAUUCAGUUUCUCCACCACUAUCAUUUUUUAUUGGUUACCUAGAAGAGCAAAAUAAGGACAUUUCCAGACAUCCAUUUUCUCAGCAACUGUAAGUGUAACUUGAACAGUGAAUCUGCUGCUUCUCCACAGCUGCUGAACAGGGAUCAGCCCAGUUAAUAUGUGACACAUCAGCCACUUAGUCACCCACAAAAAUACCACAAUUGUGAAAGAAACACACUUACCUUGAUAAUCUAGCCCUAUUCUCAUGACACAUUCAGUGGGAAGAAGUCGUAUGUUGUGGAAUACCUUAAAAGGAUCAGUUGAUCCAGUUAACUAAACUCCAUGGGCAGAGGUGUCUGCAGCAAGGUGGGACCAGGUGUGGGAAGCCCCAUCCCUCACUGACAUCACUGUUCUUUUUUUAUGUGUCUUGGGAGGGUGGGGAGGCUUGUAUAGGGAUAUAUCCAUCCCUCCAUCCAUUCCUCCAUCCAUCCCAUGUUCUGCUUAGAUUCUUUUAUUAAUUUUCCUGGGAAUCAACAUGAAUUGGCUUCACUGCCUACAAUGCAAUUGCUCCUGCCUAGGAGUUAGGUUUAGCCCCAAACAGACCAGGGUUUUCUUGGGUAACCUCUGCAAGUCAAAUCACUCCUCUCUUACCAAAAGAUUACUUCUUUCUUAUAAAGUCCACAGUCGGUAUGGUCCUAGACGUCUCUCUAAAUCAGAGUUUCUCAACCUUGGCAGUGUCCAGAUAUGUGGACUUCAAUUCCCAGAAUUCACAUCAAUGGCCAUGCUGGCUGAGGAAUUCUGGAAUUUGAAGUGCAGGCACUUAGAAAUUGCCAAGAUUAACAGUUCUAUAAAUAUUAUGUCUCUCUGGUGGUUUUGGUUUUCACCUCUCCUGGCAGAGUUGGAGUAGAAAAGGAUCAGAAGCAGGUGGAGGGUAUGUACAGUUGUGAACCUAUCCACAGAUAGCACCCCUCUCUCCAGAGAGGAAAGCAAUAAAAGGCAUGAACCAGAAAGAGAAAUACAAGCCUCCCAGCUGUUUUGUGGCAGCUGGAAGGACUAACGAUUGUCAAAUGACUAAUGGAGUCCUCCAAGAUGAUGUAUUAUUGCCAGCGUGCAAAAGUGAAUCAAAAAUGAGAAAGAGGAUAGUUGGAUUGCUUGUGCCAUGAGAAUAGGGUCACCAAGAAGAACAUCUGAGCAAUACAAUAGUGAAUUUGGUUAGGUUUUUCUUUUUUUCUAAUAAACCAUUUCACUUAAUAAUUUUUUAUUUUAAGAAUUGUAGCCAGGAAGACUGGCCUGCUUCUUUCCAUAAUAUCUGGAAAUAAUAUACUAAAUAUUAUUAUAUACUGAAAAUCGGACAUUGUAAUGCUGUGCUAGCUAUCUGUCAUUAACUGCCAAUGAUACAGAGCAGGGAAGAAGAGACUGUUAUAGUAAGACUGUUAUAGUACCUCAAUAAUGUUUUAAUAAAUGUUAUUGAAGGGGGAUUCAGCACACAGCUGCUGCUGUUUUGAGUAGCAGCUCUGCUCUUACCAUGAGGGCUAGUUUGAUCAUCAGGAAAUGAAUUCAUUCUUUCACUUGUACGUGUAGCCUAAGGCUGGCCAAAGCAUUUGCAAGUGGUUUAAAACAAAAUGAAACACCACACCCCAUCUUUGUAGGUAGCUGCAUUGGUAAGGUCCAAUUUGAAAGUCCCUGGUGCUUCCAAAAGAUGCAGUGUUUCAUGAGAGCUUUGGGGAAGAAGAACUCUGUAGUUCUGAGGACACAGUAAGUCACAGAAGUACUGUUUUAGAGCGAAGGGCAAUUUCACAGAGAAUGCAUUUGUCCCAGUUGGAUGCCAGGAUGUGCAAAUAAACACUGCCCCCUCGGUAGAGUGAGUUGAGAUGUAUUAUGCAGUAAUGUGGAGCAGACCAAAGCUUUUACCCCCAGAUUUACACUAUUUUGUAUUUGGUAAGCAGAAUAUAAUUAUGCACAAGUAAUCAAGGUAUUUUCCUAUCACCCUUCACUGAAUGGUGAAGGGAUCGCUGACGUGAUUCUCCAGUUUUUUAAAGCUGUGAUUUAUAUACAAAGUUAAUUGAGCUAUAUAUGUAAUUAAAUUGACUUUAUUAUUUAUCCUGCACUCUCUUUACCCAACCAUAACAAUGUAAGGUUAGAAACCAUGGUAUUUGAUAAUGGUAAAAACAAACAAAAAGUAUAAAUAGAGUUGGCUGAUGUACUUGAUUUUUGACACCUCAAGAAUGAUUGGAAACUAUGCUGUUCUUUUAAACUUCAUGGAUGUUUUCCUCAGUCAAGUUUAAACUUAAUUAUGUUACUGUGAGAUUGAAGAAAUUCCUCUGCAUCAUUGUUCAAAAGUCAUAUCAUGUUGCUGUGAUUAUCAAAAUGUGCUCUGUAUGCACAAGCAUGUGUAGUCAGAAUUGCUGAGUUUUCUCUGGAAAAAAAAGUAAACACUUUGUUCAGAACUUUGCGAUCCACCCUAGUCAGAAUUAAAAAAAUAAAAACCUAACAUUCAUUAUCUCUACAGAAUGUGCAAACAGUUGCAUGAAAUACAUGUGUGGUUUUUGCUAGAGCUAAAUAGAAUACGUACUAACUAUAUAACUUCCAUGUAUCUAGUAUUUUCCCCCCAUGGGUAGACCCCAUUUGGGGUACUGCAUCCAGUUUUGGCCAUCAGAGUUCAGAAUGGACAUGAAAAAGUUCAGAGGAGGCUACCAAGAUAGUGAAGGGUUUGGAAACCAAGCCAUAUGAGGAACGGUUAAAGGAUAUGUGCAUGUCUAACCUAGAGAAAAGACCACUGAGGAGAUACGAUGGCAGUCUUCAAAUGUCUGAAGGGUUGUCCCACCAAAGAGGGAAUGGACCUAUUUUCUGUUGCUCCAGAGAGCAGGAUUAAAAUGGAUGGGUUAAAAUGACACGGGAGGAAGCUCAGGAAGAACUUCCUGACUAAGUGGUCAGCCACUAGGUCAGGCUGUCAUAUGAUGUGACAGUUUCUCCUUCAGUAGAGAUUUUGAGGCUGAAUGGGUCUGUCUUACGGAUGCCUUAAUGGAACCUGCACAGGUUAGGCUAGAUCAGUGUUUCGCAACCUCAGCAACUUUAAAAUGUGUGGACUUCAA